rnacentral:misc_RNA from 1 species
AUCAUGAUAAUUGUCGAUGUAACAACCGACUUCAUUGAAAUACAACAAGCUGAAUUAACACACUUGCGGCUUGACCUAUUGUUGUAACUUAAAUUCAAUAGGAACGCAUUAAAGUUGAACGAGCUUACCAUAAAAGUGUCGUAAAACCACACAAAGUGAUCAUCGAUCUCAAAUCAAGUAGGACUACCCGCUGAACUUAA